GGGGAAUUUUGGACAAUGGAGGCAACCCUGAUCCAGCAACGCCGCGUGAAUGAAGAAGGCCCUAGGGUUGUAAAGUUCUUUUGUCGCAGAGCAAAAGGGAGAUGCUAAUAUCAUCUUCAAAUGAGAGUAUGCGAAGAAUAAGCACCGGCUAACUACGUGCCAGCAGCCGCGGUAAUACGUAGGGUGCAAGCGUUAAUCGGAAUUACUGGGCGUAAAGCGUGCGCAGGCGGAUGAUUAAGUUAGAAGUGAAAUCCCCGGGCUUAACCUGGGAAUUGCUUUUGAUACUGGUCGUCUAGAGUUUGUCAGAGGGGGGUGGAAUUCCAAGUGUAGCAGUGAAAUGCGUAGAGAUUUGGAGGAACACCAAUGGCGAAGGCAGCCCCCUGGGAUAGAACUGACGCUCAUGCACGAAAGCGUGGGUAGCAAAC
rnacentral:rRNA from 1 species